UACGUAGGGUGCGAGCGUUAAUCGGAAUUACUGGGCGUAAAGCGUGCGCAGGCGGCUUUGCAAGACAGAUGUGAAAUCCCCGGGCUCAACCUGGGAACUGCAUUUGUGACUGCAAGGCUAGAGUACGGCAGAGGGGGAUGGAAUUCCGCGUGUAGCAGUGAAAUGCGUAGAUAUGCGGAGGAACACCAAUGGCGAAGGCAAUCCCCUGGGCCUGUACUGACGCUCAUGCACGAAAGUGUGGGGAGCAAACAGG
rnacentral:rRNA from 1 species